GGACAAACUUUCCUACCGGACCAAAUUUACUGUUACAAAUACACCUUCACCAGGACCAUAGUAUUUCAUAUGCUAGAACUAUAUAUGUACAGUCCCAAGCAAUCAUGUCUGGAGUAUAUGGUAUUAUUGUUUAUAUAGUUUAUACAGGGUGUUUUUGUAGCUUAUUUCACAUAUUUUUUUCAUUUUUUAUUUUUACAUACCGGUGAUGUAUUACCAACACAAUGUGCCAUAUAAUAUAUUUUCUUCAAUGUGCUUAUAUUAAUAUGUCUUUUGUUUUGCAAAAACAAAAUAUGGUGCACCAGCAUACAUAAAAGGGUUUUUGCCUUUGAACUUCUCUAAUGUUGUAUAGUUUCAAGUUGUGCAAUUUAUUGAAUUCCUUCUGACAGGUGAUAAAUUAGAUAUCUUAGAACUAAAACAAAGUUGAUAGUCC
rnacentral:lncRNA from 1 species